rnacentral:snRNA from 1 species
UUUUUCUCACCUCAGCAACACAUAUACUAAAAUUGGAAUGAUACAGGAAAAAUUAACCUGGCCCUGUGCAACUAUGACAUGCAUAUUUACAAGGAGUUCCUUACUUGU